AACUAUGGUUGUUGGUGGUCCGGUGAGUUUGGAGUACUGGUAACUAUGGUUGUUGGUGGUGAGGUGAGUUUGGAGUACUGGUAACUAUGGUUGUUGGUGGUGAGUUUGGAGUACUGGUAACUAUGGUUGUUGGUGGUGAGUUUGGAGUACUGGUAACUAUGGUUGUUGGUGGUGAGGUGAGUUUGGAGUACUAAUAACUAUGGCUGUUGGUGGUCCGGUGAGUUUGGAGUACUGGUAACUAUGGUUGUUGGUGGUCCGGUGAGUUUGGAGUACUGAUAACUAUGGUUGUUGGUGGUGAGGUGAGUUUGGAGUACUGAUAACUAUGGUUGUUGGUGGUGAGGUGAGUUUGGAGUACUGGUAACUAUGGUUGUUGGUGAGGUGAGUUUGGAGUACUGGUAACUAUGGUUGUUGUUGUCGAGGUGAGUUUGGAGUACUGGUAACUAUGGUUGUUGGUGGUGAGGUGAGUUUGGAGUACUGGUAACUAUGGUUGUUGGUGAGGUGAGUUUGGAGUACUGGUAACUAUGGUUGUUGUUGUCGAGGUGAGUUUGGAGUACUGGUAACUAUGGUUGUUGGUGGUGAGGUGAGUUUGGAGUACUGGUAACUAUGGUUGUUGGUGGUGAGUUUGGAGUACUGGUAACUAUGGUUGUUGUUGGUGAGGUGAGUUUGGAGUACUGAUAACUAUGGUUGUUGGUGGUGAGGUGAGUUUGGAGUACUGGUAACUAUGGUUGUUGGUGGUGAGGUGAGUUUGGAGUACUGAUAACUAUGGUUGUUGGUGGUGAGGUGAGUUUGGAGUACUGGUAACUAUGGUUGUUGUUGUCGAGGUGAGUUUGGAGUACUGGUAACUAUGGUUGUUGUUGUCGAGGUGAGUUUGGAGUACUGGUAACUAUGGUUGUUGUUG